AUUGAACGCUGGCGGAAUGCUUUACGCAUGCAAGCCGAGCGGCAGCACGGGGGCAACCCUGGUGGCGAGCGGCGAACGGGUGAGUAAUACAUCGGAACAUGCCCAGUCGUGGGGGAUAACACUUCGAAAGAAGUGCUAAUACCGCAUACGUCCUGAGGGAGAAAGCGGGGGAUCUUCGGACCUCGCGCGAUUGGAGUGGCCGAUGUCAGAUUAGCUAGUUGGUGGGGUAAAGGCCUACCAAGGCAACGAUCUGUAGCUGGUCUGAGAGGAUGAUCAGCCACACUGGGACUGAGACACGGCCCAGACUCCUACGGGAGGCAGCAGUGGGGAAUUUUGGACAAUGGGGGCAACCCUGAUCCAGCCAUUCCGCGUGAGUGAAGAAGGCCUUCGGGUUGUAAAGCUCUUUCGGCAGGAACGAAACGGCGAGCUCUAACAUAGCUUGCUAAUGACGGUACCUGAAGAAGAAGCACCGGCUAACUACGUGCCAGCCGCCGCAGUAACAC
rnacentral:rRNA from 1 species